CCCUGAAAGGUCAGAAGGCCGUCUUAUUCUCAAUAUGCAUUUUAUUUUAUUACCCAAUCUGCUCCUGACAUAAAAUAAAUCUCCAAAAAUUAAAUUCUGGCCCUCAAACCCCACAGCAGGACUUAAUUAACCUCACCUUCAAGGUGUACAAUAAUAGAGUAGAGGCAGCCAAGUAGCAACAUAUUUCUGAGUUGCAAUUCCUUGCCUCCACUAUGAGACAAACCUCAGCCAAUCUCCUGCACACAAGAACUCCAAACACCUGAACCGCAGCUGCCAGGGGUUCCGCCAGAACCUCCUCCCCCAGGAGCUUGUUACAAGUGCCAGAAAUCUGGCCACUGGGCCAAGGAAUGCCCACAGCCCGGGAUUCCUCCUAAGUCAUAUCCCAUCUGUGUGGGACCCCACUGAAAAUUGGACUGUUCAACUCACCUGGCAGCCACUCCCAGAACCCCUGGAACUCUGGCCCAAGGCUCUCUGACUGACUCCUUCCCAGAUCUUCUCGGCUUAGCAGCUGAAGACUGACGCUGCCCAAUCGCCUCGGAAGCCUACAGGAUCAUCACAGACGCUCUGGGUAACUCUCACAGUGGAGGAGCCCUGCAAGAAUCCAAGUAAAUAAAGCUAAACCUUCACUACUGAAAACCAGCUUCUAGGUAACUCAUGUAUCAUACACCUUAUAUCCUUGCAUGGAUUCCCCAAAUCUAGUCUCUGAGGGCUUGGAUCUUCCUCUGAUAGUUCUACUUCAUUCUGUCAAAGAUCCAAUUCCCGAAAGAGUUUUUUUCAUCAUCUUCAAACAUCCAGAAUUGGCUCACACAAUUACAGAGGCUGAGAGGCCAUACUAUCUGUCAUGUGCAUGCAGGAGAACCAGGAAUGCUGGUGGUGUAAUUCAGUACAAGUCAGAAGACCUGGGAACCAGGGAGCUGAUGGUGCCCUCAGUGUAUUGGAUGAUACCUGCCAAUACUGGAAAGGCCAUGUGACCACACACCAAGAAGCUAGCUGUCUGCCAGCCAGGAAGAGAGCCCUGACCAGUAAUCAAAUUGGCUGAAGACUUGAUCUUGGACUCCUUGUCUCCAGAAAUGGCUGCUGUAGUAUCCUAGGGGUCUACUCCAGUCCCUGGUUACCUCGAAUUUUCCAGUCCCUGGAUGUCUCACCAGUGAAGGUUGUGAAACAGCAAAAAUGGCAGCCUGCACCCUCCUCUGGGAGCUCCAUCCCAAGAAGAUGUUGGCACUUCUUAGGAAGGAGCCAUCCAUGUCUGAAGAGAAGAAAUGAUAAUUAACUUCAUCAUGUGGAAAGCUUUAGAAGGAAGUAUCUUGUCCUUCUGUCCAAACCCGCCUCCUCCUUACCACCCCCAAUAAAAAUAAAAGCCAAACAAAUAAAACAUUAGCAGUAGCUCUGAGUUUCUUCCUUUCACUUUUUCUCUCUCUUCAUGCCUUUUCUCCUCCAUUCCUUCCUUCUUUCAAAUCAUUUUUACUAGUUUAAGAGAAUAAUUCAAUCUAUAUUUAGAAAUCAGACUUAAAACUUCAAAAAUUAUACUGAAAUAGCUUCCCCUUAAAGGGUGAAACAGUCAUGAUAAAAAUAACAACCGAUAGAAUAAAAUAAUAUAAAAUUAGCUGAGUUUAUAGUUUCUUUUACACCUCCAUAAUUUAUGUGGAUUUGGAAAUACAGACAGUAUACUGAAAACUAAGAAGUUUUCUAUGAAUUAUGAGAAUUUGCAAUCCACAUAGGCUUAAGUCUAAUGUUAGAAGAUAAAACAAAUUGACCUUAAAUAACUUUCUGACAUAACCUCCCCAUUUCAUGGAUGAAAAACCCUAAAGCUCUCAUAAGUAAAGUGAUUUACUUCAGGACACAAACUAGUUGAUUUAGUUUGGAUGUUUGUCCCCUCCAAAUCUCAUGUUGAAAUGGAAUCCCCAGUGUUGGAGGUGGGGCCUGGUGGGAGGUGUUUGUGUCAUGGGGCAGAUCCAUUAUCCUUAUGAGCUGCUUGGUGCUAUCCUUGUGAUAGUGAGUGAGUUCUCAUGAAAUCUGGUUGUUUAAAAAUUUGUGGCACCUCCCCACCAGCCUUGCUCCUGCUCUUGCGGUGUGAUAUGCCUGCUGCCUCUUCACCUUACACCGUGAUUAUAAGCUUCCUGAGGCCUCACCAGAAGCAGUU
rnacentral:lncRNA from 1 species